rnacentral:tRNA from 1 species
GUGCCCUGAAUAUCUGUAAAAUUCGGUUUACUUCUUGCAGGAAAAUCAAGCAGUAGUUUCUGUGGUCUAGUGGUUAUCACGUUUGCUUCACACGCGAAAGGUCCCUGGUUCGAAACCGGGCGGAAACAACGCUCAUUGACACAUUCUGAAGUACCAUAGUGGUAACAGAAAAUUUCAUGAAUUCUUUAUUUUGGAAAUUCGAAUACGUGCCAUGAAUAUUUUUAAAAUUCGGUUUACUCCUUGCAGAAAAAUCAAGCAGCAGUUUCUGUAGUGUAGUGGUUAUCACGUUCUCUUUACACGUGAAAGGUCCUCAGUUUGAAACUGGGAGGAAACAGUGCUCUUUGACACGUGCAGUAGGUACUGUACUAUUAACAGAGAAUAGUUAUUUUCAUAAAUGCCUAAUUUUGGAAAUUUGAACGCGUGCCAUGAAUAUCUGUAAAAUUCGGUUUACUCCUUGCAGAUAAUUGUUGCAGAAGUUUCUGUAGUGUAGUGGUUAUCACGUUCGCUUAACACGCGAAAGGUCCUCGGUUCGAAACCGGGCGGAAACAGAGCUCUUUGACACGUGCAGUAGGUACUGUACUUUCAACAAAGAAUUGUUAUUUUCAUGAAUUCUGUAUUUUGGAAAUUCGAAUACGUGCCAUGAAUAUCUGUAAAAUUCGGUUUACUCCUCGCAGCUAAAUGUAGCAGCAGUUUCUGUAGUGUAGUGGUUAUCACGUUUGCUUCACACGCGAAAGGUCCCUGGUUCGAAACCGGGCGGAAACAACACUCAUUGACACAUUGUGAUUUACCGUAGUGGUAACAGAAAAUUUCAUGAAUUCUUUAUUUUGGAAAUUCGAAUACGUGCCCUGAAUAUCUGUAAAAUUCGGUUUACUUCUUGCAGGAAAAUCAAGCAGCAGUUUCUGUAGUGUAGCGGUUAUCAAGUUCGCUUAACACGCGAAAG